rnacentral:misc_RNA from 1 species
AACCUUUGCUGUCUUGGGACGGAUCACCACUGCAAGAGGGGAAGUUGCUACUGUGAUGAAUUCUGCCAUGUGGCACCAGACUGCCACCCAGACCACAGUGUCCUCUGCAACCCUGGUAACUCACAUACAGGCCCGAUUCCACCGACAGCAAAGCUGGAUGCUAUGGCUGGCAGAGGCAAACCCUUUGCCUGCACUUCAGGCCAAAGCCGGGAUGUGGCCUAGAUGGUUCCUAAGGUCCCUGACAAUCCUGAGAUCUUGCAUCUUGUCUAUUUCAGGUCAAAGCUUCUCAGAUGACCAAGAUGGUGCUGCAGAUGGUGCUGAGGAUGGAGAACCCACCAAGCCCCGCUAGGAGCCACCUAGACUGGAUGCAGAGCAUGGCUAAAACCUUUGAAGAAGAAUUUAUUAUAUCCUACAAACCUGGGAGGCAGAGGUUGCAGUGAGCCAAGAUUGGGCCAUCGCACUCCAGCCUGGGCAAUAAGAAUGAAACUCUGUCUCAAAAAAAACAAAAGUUGGCCAGGGCUGGGCGUGGUGGCUCACACCUGUAAUCCCAGCACUUUGGGGGGCUAAAGCAGGUGGAUC